rnacentral:lncRNA from 1 species
AGGCGGUGGUCGCGCUGGGCGACGGGACGGCGCUGGUUUUUCUCUUGAGUUUUAAAUUGAGGCGGUGGAGGAGGGAGUGGGAGACCCACUCACCCGAUAUGCGCUCUGGUCUCCAUUUCUCCCCACGCUCGCGCCGUUCCUUCGAGUGAGGGAGGGACUCGCAGCGCCGCCCGCGCACCGGACCCACAAGGCGAGCCCCGUGGUGGCGGGGAUGGUUCUGCGCGCCUGGCAGCUCCCACCCCGG